rnacentral:rRNA from 1 species
UACAGAGGUCUCAAGCGUUGUUCGGAUUCAUUGGGCGUAAAGGGUGCGUAGGUGGCGCUGUAAGUCAGGUGUGAAAUCUCCCCGGCUCAACUGGGAGGGUGCGCCGAAUACUGAGAGGCUAGAGUGUGGGAGAGGAAAGUGGAAUUCCUGGUGUAGCGGUGAAAUGCGUAGAUAUCAGGAGGAACACCGGUGGUGUAAACGGCUUUCUGGACCAUAACUGACGCUGAGGCACGAAAGCGUGGGUAGCAAACAGG